rnacentral:sRNA from 1 species
GAUUCUGGGGGGAGGCCGACUCCACCCUGGCUGGAGGAACUGGGUGCUCCUGCCCGCUGGCCCCUCGCGCGUGAGGAUCUAUCUCAGGUGUGUGCUUCCUGGGAGACCCCUUCCCCCGCCCCUAGGAUUCUAGCGGGGAGUGGUCCCUUUCUGACCCGGGCGAGUGUUCUGGGACUCCAGUCUUGCGGCUAAGAAAUGGCAUUUCAAAAGGCAGUGAAAGGGACGAUUCUUGUUGGAGGAGGUGCUCUUGCAACUGUUUUAGGACUUUCUCAGUUUGCUCAUUACAGAAGGAAACAAAUGAACCUGGCCUAUGUUAAAGCAGCAGACUGCAUUUCAGAACCAGUUAACAGGGAGCCUCCUUCCAGAGAAGCUCAGCUACUCACUUUGCAAAAUACAUCUGAAUUUGAUAUCCUUGUUAUUGGAGGAGGAGCAACAGGAAGUGGCUGUGCACUAGAUGCUGUCACCAGAGUGUCAGGAGAAUCGACUUAAGAAACUGUAAAACUUUAAGAAGAGAACUACGCCUGUGAGAUUUACUAGACUGAUUUUGAAAAAGACUACUGAUAAGG